rnacentral:piRNA from 1 species
UGAAUAAGCUGCUAUAAUCUGGAC